rnacentral:rRNA from 1 species
GAGCGCAACCCCUACCGUUAGUUGCCAGCGAGUAAUGUCGGGAACUCUGACGGAACUGCCGGUGCAAACCGUGAGGAAGCUGGCGACGACGUCAAAUCAUCACGGCCCUUAAGUCUGGGGCCAAACACGAGAUACGAUGGUAGGUACAGAGGGAAACCACGCGGGGACAGGGAGCAGAUAUAUAGAACAUAUCUCAGUUCGGAUGAGAGUCGGCAACUUGAUUCCGUGAAGCUCGAAUCGCUAGUAAUCGAAUAUCAGCCAUGAUCCGGUGAAUACG